rnacentral:rRNA from 1 species
UACGGAGAGUGCAAACGUUGUUCGGAUUCACUGGGCGUAAAGGGCACGUAGGCGGCUCGGCAAAUCGGUCGUGGAAUCCCGACGCUUACCCUCGGAACGGCGGCCGAAAAUACCGGGCUCGAGGGCGGGAGGGGUCACUGGAACUCCUGGUGAAGCGGUGAAAUGCGUAGAUAUCAGGAGGAACGCCGGAGGCGAAAGCGAGUGACUGGCGCGUUCCUGACGCUGAGGUGCGAAAGCUAGGGGAGCAAGCAGG